rnacentral:rRNA from 1 species
GAGUCGGACCUGCCCAGUGAAUAUAUUUUAACGGCCGCGGUACUCUGACCGUGCAAAGGUAGCAUAAUCAUUUGCCCUAUAAUUGAGGGCUAGUAUGAAUGGUUUGACGUGAACAAAGCUGUCUCUAUGUAAUUUUUUAGAACUUGAUUUCUAGGUGAGGAAACCUAGAUGCUAUUGAAAGACAAGAAGACCCUAUUGAGCUUUAAAAGAAUAAAUUGAAAAUAAUAUAUAAUUCUAAAUAUUAAUCUAUUUUAGGAUUUUGGUUGGGGCGACUAUGGAACAAACAAAGCUUCUUUAUAACUGACAAAACUGACAAGUAUUGAUCCAAGAAUUUUGAUCAAUGGAAUUAGUUACCAUAGGGAUAACAGCAUAAUUCUCUUUGAGAGUUCUUAUCGAAAAGAGAGUUUGUGACCUCGAUGUUGGACUAGAAUAUCCUAAAGAUGCAGCAGUCUUUAAGGGUUNGUC